ACCCUUCAGGCGGAAGCCAACAAACACCGCAGAUGCGAGCGAGCGAAUGAGAAAUAAAAGUAGAGAGAGCAGAAGGAAUGAGACACCACAAAGGAGGACAGUUAUGAGAGCAACACAGACAAACUUCACCAGAUAUCAGUCAUGGAACAUAUGACGGAUGUCUGCCUCACUGCUUUGUUGGACACAGCAGGAAGCACCAGAGAUAUCAAAACACAGCCCUAUGCAGAUGAGAUGAAGGGGACAAUAUCAGCAGCUCAAUAUCAGCCUGGGCUCCGUCGCUCGCGGCUCGAGACCACAAACUACAGCUGCAGCCUGACUGGUUCUAACCUGAGUUCAUGGUGCACAUACAUGAACAGGAGCACGAGAUGAUGUGAGUGUGUGUUUAGUCGAUGCAGUGGCCACAACAGUGGUUCCCAUCAAAACCAGUGACUUAACACCAACAUCAGAGGUCAAGAUAAAGCACAACAACGGUAACAAAUAAAGUAAACACUAAUAAUAAUCAGAAGGAUUCCACAUUUCAUGGGCAUAAAACGACAUGAUGCUACAGAAUGAGCAGCGGUUCUGAUUGUUCACUUACUGUAUCUCUUUGGUCCGUCCUCGAGGCAGAAGGACAGCGUGAGAGUCGCGUCCUCCUCGAAGAACUCUGUCGCGAACGCGUCCCACCACAAACUGUCGCUCUCCUGCAAACAAAGACAAGCGUCACGGCGUGAGUGAGAAGCAGCACGAUGUCCGACUAUUCAACCGCACGCAACGCAGACACACAACGUGUGUAACUGCAGUCGCACGCUGCCCAGCAAAUUUGAUGUAAGAGCCCAACUCUUGUUUUCUGUUAUUUAAUAACGCCGUGAAUGUUUUUUCUGUGUUACUGCAUUUUUACAUGAAUUUAAUAUGGAUUUAUUCCGAUAAGACAAAGAUAUUGUGACCAUGGUAAAGGAGGGACACUGCCGGACCGUCGAACACCACCGUGUUUGUUCACUCCUUUUCAAUAAAAUGAAUUUUAUGAGCUUUGUUUAAA